rnacentral:rRNA from 1 species
CCUACGGGUGGCAGCAGUGGGGAAUAUUGGGCAAUGGGCGCAAGCCUGACCCAGCAACGCCGCGUGAAGGAAGAAGGCUUUCGGGUUGUAAACUUCUUUUGUCAGGGCUCAACCAAGUGACGGUACCUGACGAAUAAGCCACGGCUAACUACGUGCCAGCCGCCGCGGUAAUACGUAGGUGGCAAGCGUUAUCCGGAUUUACUGGGUGUAAAGGGCGUGUAGGCGGGGAAGCAAGUCAGAUGUGAAAACCCCGGGCUCAACCGGUGGACUGCAUUUGAAACUGUUUUUCUUGAGUACUGGAGAGGCAGACGGAAUUCCUAGUGUAGCGGUGAAAUGCGUAGAUAUUAGGAGGAACACCAGUGGCGAAGGCGGUCUGCUGGACAGCAACUGACGCUGAGGCGCGAAAGCGUGGGGAGCAAACAGGAUUAGAUACCCCGGUAGUC